UUUGCUUGUUUUUGGUGUGAGUAUAUGCUUGAAACAUUGAGGACAAUGUUUGAUUUAAGUGUGGGGGGGGGGUAACCAUUGUUUUGCAUGAAAUUCGUAGAAAUUUAUCACCCAUUACUUCUAGUGUUGUUCCUUGUUGUUUUAAGUAUUUUUUAAGCUGUUUUGGUGUUUUGACAUAAAAAUCCGAAAAUUCAUAAAAAUUUGAAAAAUUGUUUUUGAAAAUCCAAAAAAGAGUUGUUUUUGUGCGCUUAUUUGUGUCUUAGGGUACCUUCCAACACAAUGAUGAGGAUUCGGUUUGUAAUUGCAUGACUGUUAAAGAGAGUUAUAAACAUGGAUGAAAGUUUGAUUUACUCUUUAUUUAUGCGUGGUUGUGGUUAUAACUUAUGAAAUCACAUGUAAUCAUAAAAGAAAAAAAAAUUAGUUUUUGUAACAUGCUUGAAGGAAAGAACUCAAACUAACGCUACAACCUUGUGAGACUUGAGCUUAAACGUUUAUUUGGAGAGUUAAAAUCUGUGCAUUCUUGUUUUCUAAAGUCGUUGCAUGAUCUCAUUAUUCUUUGCUUGGUUAUUACUUAGAAGACGUUUCAUCAUUUAGUUCCAAAUGCUAGAACUCAUGCCUAUUUCAUUCAAAGCAUGCUAUUGAAUUGCAUAAAACAUAUUCAAGAUGAAGUUGUGUAGUUACCACCACCAAAGCCAAACUGCCAUGUAUCCCGUAUCGUUAUAUGUUUAAGUUAACCCCAUUGAGUCUUGAUAGCCUACAUUCUUUGUUAAACCACAUUAUCCUUACCUAGCCUAGUUUAGGACCAUCCAUACCCUUAUUCUUGAAGCAUAGUAAAGCAUGAUUCAAAUUGAAUUUCUUUUGAUUAAUAUGGCAGAAAACAAGUGUGGGGGAAGUGUGAGUUAUUAUGCUUGUUGAAAAGAAAAGAAGAGUUGAAAAAAAAAAAAAAGAGUUGAAAAAUAUGCGAAAAAGAGUUU
rnacentral:lncRNA from 1 species